rnacentral:rRNA from 1 species
UGGUCAAUAGCCUAACGGCUGAACCAGCAAUUUGAAGGAACUAACUGGUUAUGUAAUGAUAGCUAGAGUUCGUGAUAGAAUAAUGAUAAUGACAAUUUUCUAUUUGUAGUCUUGACCAAAUCACGUGCCAGCAGUCGCGGUAAGACGUGGAAGACAAGUGUUAUUCAUGUUUAAUAGGUUUAAAGGGUACCUAGACGGUAGAUCUUGCCUGAAAAAGGAACAGAUUUGCUAGAGUUUUAUAUGAGAAGGGGAGUAUUAUUGGUGGAGAGAUGAAAUUUGUUGAUACCUCUAGGACUGGUAAUGGCGAAGGCAACCUUUUAGGUAAAAACUGACGUUGA